rnacentral:tRNA from 1 species
CGGGGCGUGGCGCAGCCCGGUAGCGCGCCUGCUUUGGGAGCAGGAGGUCCCGGGUUCGAAUCCCGGCGCCCCGA